GUUUUUAUAGUUGAAUUACAACAGUGAUUUUUCGUAUCAUAGGUCCAGUUGUGAGAACUGGUGAAAACU
rnacentral:tRNA from 1 species